UAUAAUUCAUCAAGAACAGUGGAAUCCAGAAUUAAACCUCAAAUUUGACUGAUUUACUAUAGAACUAAUAGUACGAAAAUUCACCGGGCCGAGUCCAAGAUAAGAAAUGUCAAAAAGGGGAACUGGUUGAUGGAUAUGGAUGAAACUUUGCAUCAGUGUUGUGUUUAUGAAUAGAAGUCAGGAAAAUAAAGGAUUACUGACAGACCAUGCAGUUACCAAAGCCUGGGUUUGAGUAUAUGACCUUACCUUAUCCUGGUAAAGAUCUAUGGAAGGACUCCUUCAGCUCUGUUUGGCAGCAGCUUUGUCAGGACACAUUGAGAAGGAACUCAUUUGUUGGUGGAAGGAUUAAAGAUGUACUACCCACCAGCUGUCAGGAGUUUUUAAAGUGGUGAAUUUAAACAGUGUUACAACAGAAUGAAGAUUUCUGAAAAAAGUAGAUGGCUAACCUAUUAUAUUUUGGGCAUCAUUUGACUUAGAUAGUGUUAAUGUUUAAAGUUUAAGACAGUAUAUAAUUCAUCAAGAACAGUGGAAUCCAGAAUUAAACCUCAAAUUUGACUGAUUUACUAUAGAACUAAUAGUACGAAAAUUCACCGGGCCGAGUCCU